rnacentral:rRNA from 1 species
AUACGGAGGAUGCAAGCGUUAUCCGGAUUUAUUGGGUUUAAAGGGUGCGUAGGCGGAUGAUUAAGCGUGAGGUGAAAUGCCACUGCUCAACAGUGGAACUGCCUCGCGAACUGGUUGUCUUGAAUGCUCCUGCCGUGGGAGGAAUGUGUGGUGUAGCGGGGAAAUGCAUAGAGAUCACACAGAACACCGAUUGCGAAGGCAUCUCACGAAGGGGUGAUUGACGCUGAGGCACGAAAGCGUGGGGAUCAAACAGGAUUAGAUACCCUGGUAGUCCACGCAGUAAACGAUGAUAACUAACCGCUGGGUCGUAGUGAUUCAGUGGCCAAGCGAAAGCGAUAAGUUAUCCACCUGGGGAGUACGACCGCAAGGUUGAAACUCAAAGGAAUUGACGGGG